ensembl:lncRNA
GAAGUGUUUGGGUAGACAGGGGGGGGGGGCGGGGGGCUGUAUGGAGGAAAGGGGUGUGUGGCACCAACCCGCACAUGAUCGAUAGAUCAAAGGGUUUUCUUCCUGCUUCAGGGGACUGGAGAGAAUGACAGAGAGGGGCCAAGAGGAGGGGUGGUCAUUUCACCCCUGCGCCUCUAAUGAACGGCAAAUCAACUCCCUCGCUCUGUCCAUCUUCCUCGUCAUCUCCAAGGCGACGCUGCCAGUGUCAAUCACACCGGGCCAACCAAAGUCCAGAAGGGAGGGACCGACAUGUGACGUCAUACAGUGUGACAUCAUCGUCCCCAAACCACUGUCACAAGUAACAAAUGGACAGGAGUAUUUUUAACACAGGCCUCCGCCAAGGAGUCAGCAUACAGAUUGAUUAAAAAGGUCCACAGCAGGUGUGUGCCAGCCACAUGUAUACAUAUAUAUUUACACAUAUACACGCACACACGCAGGAUCGUGACGGUUCUGUGAAAUCCAUUCUAACCUCUUUUAAUGCACAUGAGUUUAUAUAUUCCCAAAAGAGAAAAGCAAACAUAAAAAAAAAUACAGUUCUGAUUCAUCUUUCGUAUGAAGCCGAUUCCUGUUCCCCCCCCUUCGCUCUGUUUCCUGUUGUCCUAUAAAAUAGUCAGUAACACUCUAUACUGUGUCACGAAUUGCAUGAGAAAAAUUCCCCAAGGCUCCUCCAACGUCGUCGUGGAAACGACAGUCUGUUGCCUGUUUGUGUGAGUCCGUACCAGGAUGGCUUUUGGAGGGCCAGAGGACAGACAACCGAGGUUGUUGGUUUAUGCAUAAACACUUUCCGUGGCAACGCGCUGCUUUUGUAUGAACUCUGAACUCUCCGUUCAGAGACGCGAAAAGAAACAGGUGAAACGGCCUAAAACAUCUAGACAGGUUUAUGUGAAACUACAUCUCGGUUUAUCGUUUACCAUUCUGAAUUUAAAAAAUAAAAAAAACACACAAAAAAAAACAAGUGCACGUGGAAAGUAUUUUGUGCAUAAGUUCUGAGGUGUCUCAACAGAUAAUUGGAGAGAGAGAAGAGAGAGAGAGAGGGGGAUAGUGGGAGAGUGAGAGAGAGAAGAGAGAGAGAGAGAGAGAGAGAGAGAGGGGGAUAGUGGGAGAGUGAGAGAAGAGAGAGAGAGAGAGAGAGAGAGAGAGGGGAUAGUGGGAGAGUGAGAGAGAGAAGAGAGAGAGAGAGAGAGAGAGA